CGGCGCCGGCCGGACACGGUCCCGCUCCGGCCGGGAAGGAUGAGGAUUCUGCGACCGGGAAGAGAGAGGCCAACUGGGGGACAGGAAGAGGCCGAGCGGGACAGGGAGAGACAGAGGAGAUCCGAGCCGGGCCCCCGGUGAGGGGGUCGGAGCCCGAUCCCACCCCGAGAUGUCCCACGUCUGGCCGUCCCGGCCCUCCCUCCCCCCACGGAGGGGAAGGAUCAUCAUCACGUGAACAUCAAGGUCCUCUGAAGACAUCAAAUGUUUCCACCGCCCUCUCCCUGCCUUUCCCCCUCCCCUCAACACCGAUGUCCUGGGAUCCUUCUCAAGCGGAUGGACGGGGGUCCCUCGCCCGACAGCCCCCGUCUCGGCCCAGAAAGACGAUAUACCUUCCCCUCGACACUGAGGACGAAGCGUCCCACCCGGCCGUGUCCGCAGUUUCGUGUUUUCGUUCAAUCGUAUCCAUUCAAUCGUAUUUAUUGAGUCCUGACUGUGCGGAGCACUGUUCUAAGCGCUUGGAAAGUACAAUUCGGCAACAAUUUUCCUCCACGGGCCUUAUUAAAACCCAAGAUCGAGUAAAGAUGCUAACGGCGACCAAA